CGGGCGAUGUGUACAUAUUUUAGAGCUAAAAUCAAAAUAUUUAUCUUUAUAAAUUUACUAUCAAAUCCAAUUUCAUUAAAUUUUUCAUAUUUAAAUCCACAUAAAUAAAAUUUAUUGUAACCCAUUUUUACUUAAACAUAAACUACACCUUGAUUUGAUAUUAAUUUUUAUAUAAAUUAUAGAAAAUUAUUUUUCUUAUAAAAUAUUCCAAUAACAACGGUAUAUAAAUUGAAUCACAAAUUUAAGUAAGGUACAUCGUGGAUUAUCGAUUAUAAAACAGGUUCCUCUGAAUAGACUAAAAUACCGCCAAAUUUUUUAAGUUUCAAGAACAUAUCUAUUACUACUCAAAUUAUUUAUAAUUUACAUUUCAAAUAAUAGGGUAUCUAAUCCU
rnacentral:rRNA from 1 species